GGGAUUGCCUUAGUAACGGCGAGUGAAGCGGCAACAGCUCAAAUUUGAAAUCUGGCUCCUUCGGGGUCCGAAUUGUAAUUUGUAGAGGGUGCUUCGGGCGAGGCCUCGGUCUAAGUCCAUUGGAACAUGGUGUCAUAGAGGGUGAGAAUCCCGUAUGCGACCGUGGCUCGAGCCCAUGUGAAGCCUCUUCGACGAGUCGAGUUGUUUGGGAAUGCAGCUCAAAAUGGGUGGUAAAUUUCAUCUAAAGCUAAAUACUGGCUGGAGACCGAUAGCGCACAAGUAGAGUGAUCGAAAGAUGAAAAGCACUUUGGAAAGAGAGUCAAACAGUACGUGAAAUUGUUGAAAGGGAAGCGCUUGCAACCAGACCUGCCCGUAGGCGAUCAGCCGCUGUUCUCAGCGGUGCACUCGCUCUGCGAUCAGGCCAGCAUCGGUUUCGGCGGUCGGAUAAAGGCCUUGGGAAUGUAGCUCCCCUCCGGGGGAGUCUUAUAGCCCUUGGUGCAAUGCGGCCAGCCGGGACCGAGGACCGCGCUUCGGCUAGGAUGCUGGCGUAAUGGUUGUAAGCGACCCGUCUUGAAACACGGACCAAGGAGUCUAACAUCUAUGCGAGUGUUUGGGUGUCAAACCCAUGCGCGGAAUGAAAGUGAACGGAGGUGAGAACCCUUUAAGGGCGCAUCAUCGACCGAUCCAGAUGUCUUCGGAUGGAUUUGAGUAUGAGCAUAGCUGUUGGGACCCGAAAGAUGGUGAACUAUGCCUGAAUAGGGUGAAGCCAGAGGAAACUCUGGUGGAGGCUCGCAGCGGUUCUGACGUGCAAAUCGAUCGUCAAAUUUGGGUAUAGGGGCGAAAGACUAAUCGAAC
rnacentral:rRNA from 1 species